GCGCUGCCUGUGAGCCCUGGCGCACCUUCUCCUGGUGCUGGGGGUCAGGCUGGGGAGCUGGCGCAUAACGGGCAGUCUGCCCAUCAUGGGUGGCCCUGGGGCUGUCUGCCCGUUGCAGGUGGCCCUUUUAACUGCUAGUUACAGGC
ensembl:snoRNA LOC120096123 small nucleolar RNA SNORA76